rfam:Gossypium hirsutum cultivar TM-1 chromosome 3, whole genome shotgun sequence
UGUUAAAAAUUUCAUCCAUUUAUACUCUUAAGAACUAACAUGGCUGACAAAAUCACCAGAUAGUGACACAUGGUGGGUCGCAUAUACCUUAUAUUGACAUAUAUGGAUCAAUUUUUAACAGUAAAAAUAAAUGAAAUUUUUAACA